rnacentral:rRNA from 1 species
GACGAACGCUGGCGGCGUGCUUAACACAUGCAAGUCGAACGGAAAGGCCCUGCUUUUGUGGGGUGCUCGAGUGGCGCACGGGUGAGUAACACGUGAGUAACCUGCCCUUGUAUUUGGGAUAAAUUCAGGAAAAUGGGGCUAAUACCGGAUAGGAGAUCCUGCUGCAUGGUGGGGGAUGGAAAGUUUCGGCUGUUGGGGCUGGAAUCGCGGCUUAUCAGCUUGUUGGUGGAGUAGUGGCUUACCAAGGCUAUGACGGGUAGCCGGCCUGAGAGGGUGACCGGCCACAUUAGUACUGAGGGACGGCGCAGUCGCGUACGGUAGGCAGCGGGGGGGAACAUUACACAGUGGGGGGGAGUGUGAGGCGGCGGCAUCGCGAUCGUAAUGACCUGUUACUGGGUAAGAACCACUUUCUCAGUAGAUGAGGCGGGAUUGACGGUAAUGGAUAAGAAAGCACCGGCUAACUACGUG